GACGAACGCUGGCGGCGUGCCUAAUACAUGCAAGUAGAACGCAGUUGCGAACGGGUGAGUAACGCGUAGGUAACCUGCCUCAUAGCGGGGGAUAACUAUUGGAAACGAUAGCUAAUACCGCAUACUGUGAGAUGGACCUGCGUUGUAUUAGCUAGUUGGUGAGGUAAAGGCUCACCAAGGCGACGAUACAUAGCCGACCUGAGAGGGUGAGCGGCCAAACUGGGACUGAGAACCGGUCAAGAGUCCUACGGGAGGAAGCAGGGGGGAAUAGUGCACAAUGGGCGCAAGCCUGAUGGAGCCAUGCCGCGUGUAUGAAGAAGGGCUUCGGGUGGUAAAGCACUUUCAGCAGGGAGGCGUUACCCACAGAGGAAGCACCGGCUAACUCCGUGCCAGCCGCCGCGGUAAUAC
rnacentral:rRNA from 1 species